rnacentral:lncRNA from 1 species
CGAGCGGUGAGUAGAGAGGUGGGAGGAGGAGGAGGAGGAGGAGGAGGAAGAAGAAGGGUUGGAGAGGGAGAGGGUGUGGUGGGAGGAGGAGAGGUAGGUGGAGUCGGGGACGAAGGAACGAGGAGGGGCGUCGUGGGAGAGAGUGGUGGAGGAGGAGGCGCCGCAGGAGAGGAAGAGGAAGGAGGAAUUUGGGGUGAUUGAGGAGGAGAAGGGGAGGAGAGAGAAUACUAAGAGCCCUACGAAGAGCACAAGUGACUCCAUUAGAGAGGAUAAGAGAGAGAGAGAGAGAGAGAGAUAUCAGAGGGGUAUAUAAUAAUGGAGGUAGGGGGAAGAAGAGUGUGAGUGGGGAGGGAUAAAGAAGAGAGUAGUGAGUGGCUGUGGCCCUGUGAGGGUGGUGAGUGGACCGUAAUGUAUGAUUGAUUGACUUGUGAGUGUACUAACAAUGAUUAAUAUAGAAUGAAAAAAAUUUUAAAAUACAACGAAUAUACGGGUGACAUUGCGUAAUAAAUUAAUCAAAUAUUUUUUUUAGAGGUAUAUAUUUUAUCAUGAUUGUAAAAAAAAAUUUUAUUAUAUUUUUAUUUGAAAAAUAAAAUAUAAUUAUUUUAUUAUUGAUAACAAGGUGCAAAUGUUACACUGUAGAAUUUCACCUAAAAU